GCCUACGACCAUAUCACCCAGAAUGCGCCCGAUCUCGUCUGAUCUCGGAAGCUAAGCAUGGUCGAGUCUGGUUAGUACUUUGAUGGGAGACUGCCUGGGAAUACCAGGUGUUGUAGGCU
ensembl:rRNA 5S_rRNA 5S ribosomal RNA